GGGGUCUAAUUCCAGCCUUCCUUCUGCAGCCCGGAGGAUGCUUUGACAACUGCCUUGCGAAAGGAAACUCGGAGCUGUGUUGGUGAUUCCCAGACAAGCCAUGCUGGAGCAAGGAACUCUCCCGGCUGGGAGCCCACUGCUGCUGUGACAAAGGGAGCCCCGGCUGAGACCCUGCUCAGACACAUUGGAACCGGGAAAGACUGGGUGAUUAUUACCUAACACGUGUGCUACAGAUACGUCCUGUAUCUUCAUUUCUCUGGGAUUCCUUUCGGCAAAUUCUGCGUGAUUUUACCUGCCCGGAAAGGUAGUCUGGGGAUGAAGCGACGCCCCCGUAAGGCGGGAUUUUGAAUACCUGGGAUGUGAGCAGCACGGUACCAAUUCACCUGUUCUGAGACCCGGCCUCUCAGUGUUGGACACAGACAGUGAAACCUCGGGCACGUGACGCGCAGUAACGCGUCCAGGGCCACAGGCAGCACGUGACGGAGCCCAGACUCCUAGGAGCUCGGCAGUGUCCAGAGUUCGCGGCCGUCCCGGACUCCCUGCACAGGCGGCGUGGGAAAUGUUCUCGUGGUCCUGAGUCAGCGGCCUCGCCUUCCCUCCAGAGGAAAGCAACACCUUCCUGCCUGUGGUUGGAGGUCUGCCUGCGAGCAGUGAGAUGUUGCCCCAGGAUCCUUGAGCCUGCAGUUCACCAACAAGCCCUUCCUUUUGGGAAUAAUCGGGGGUAUGUCUGCAGGUGUAGAAAGAAGAAAAGCCCAGUGUACCACUUUAAAGAUGUGCCAGGGAUGGCCACAUAGGCCUCUCUGCAGAGAACUGUAUGCGUCCAGGGACACCUGUGGUCUUUGACGGAUCUAUGCUCCAGACGCAAAGGGAUGCUGGAUAAUUCUGCAAUGCUAUAGGUGUACUUAAAAAGCAUGAAAAAUGUCUGUUUCCAGGUGGCCGAGAAGAAGGGGAAGCUGAAAGAUAGAGCAUAAAUAGAGGUUGAAACCAAGCAGCUAUGAAGUUAUCGAGACCAUAAAGACAUCUUUAGGGUUGGGAAACUGACCGCUGCCUAAGGAUGCCCGGGGAGCUUGUGGAUGCUGUGUGCCAUGAGGAUCAGGGGAGCAGCUUUACAAACCCAGGAACAGGGAGGGAGCUACCAUGUCUGUGUAGAGACUUGCCUUGCUUGGCCCUCCAGGAACACAGAGCAAUAACUGAUGCCAGCUCUGGACCCCAGGUGUACCUCCUGUGUGAAGCCUCAGUUCACACCGUCUGCACUCUGGAAAUUUUGAGCAGGAAUUGAAUAUAAAGGUUGAUCUAUAUCCAACUGCAACCCCCAAGACCCCAGCCCAGGGCAGGUGCCUGCACAACUCAGGGUGUUUCUGGGACAGAGAAGGAUAAUCCCCAAGGAAGACGAGCUCACAGCACCUGUGAGAACUUGCCACCUUGAGGCUGAACAGACUCGAUAAAAGAAGAAUUCACAUCCGAGGACCUACAGUGAAGGAAACAUCAAAAUGCACCUUUGAUCAUGAAGACACAAUAUAAAGGGGAAAACAAAGGCACAUAGGCCACAUUACAACUACAGGGCUUAAAAAAAAGUCGUGGAAGGAAAAAUAGAGUCACUGAAAGAAAAUGAGUGGGUUGGACAGAAUGUAUUCUGCUGGUCUGGUCCUUGACCUUCACCUGGAACCUUGGGGCUAAACAUAGAAAAAGGGCUAGGGAGGUAGCUUUGCAGGACAAGUUCCAGGGGUGUCCUUGGUAGUAUUUUCCCCUUUUGUGGACACUUUUCCUUCCUGAGAAAAUAGCCAAGACCAGGUGUUCUUUUGCCCCUGGAACUGCCAAUGGUUUCGUGCCAUGAGGCCAAAGCACAAGAGUCCAGGCAGCUAGACUGUGAUACCAGCCCUUGCUUUUGAACGCCCAGGCUUACUCAGUGGAAAUGCUGGGUGGGCCGGUGGGGGAAGCCACAGAGAUGUGGGGUUUUCCGUGAUGAGAGGUGAGAGUUGCCAGAGUAGGUAAUGGCAGGGGUUGUCUUGGGGCAAAGGAUGGGAUAUCUUCCUGUUGUUGACAUCAUUGUACUGCUUCCCAGUGAGGCCCUGGGACCCACUCACAUCAGAGAUGCCAUAAUGUGAGGAAAUGGAAGCCAGAGUAAUGGCCUUGGGGAAAGUGACAAAGUACCCCUGUGUCCAAACUCAGCUCAGCUACAACCCCCUCAAAGGGAGCAGGAGGGUGAAUAGAGAGUUUAUUUCCCGGACACUUGGGGCUGAAGGGCAGAGAACACUUCCUUGAAUGCUUAGAGUAUAUAGAACCUUCUGGACGUGUGUUCAAGUCCACGAGGAAUGGCUGAAAAUAUGAUUCAUUUGCAGGUAGCAGGUUGAAGAGAAGUUUGGAUCAGCUUUUAUUUAAUUUGGAGAAAUAAUAGCAUACGAUAGUUCUGCUGGUGUCCAACGUACUUUAGAGUCUGCAGUGAAAUGAAUUUCCCCAAAGAGGGAGGACCUUGGAAAGUGAUGACAGGUCCCGUCUCCAAGUAUUAAUUUCUAGGGAAGCGGAGGCCGUCUUCUGGCGUGGGGACACCAUAGGGUCUGCAUCACCACAGUGCUGAGGGCAAGGACAAGGGACAGAUGCCAGCUGGGUCCAGGUUGUGAUCCCAUAGACAGCGUGGAAGUGAUGGCUUCUGUUUUGGGAGGUUUUUUUUUUGCAGCUUUAUGGAGAUAUAAACGAUAAGGAAAAUGGCAUGUACUUAAGGUGUACAACUUGACACCUACCUGUGAAAGCAUCACCAUGAUCAAGUCCAUUAAUGUCCCUGUCACCUCACUGUGGGAGUGUGUGUGUGGGGGGUAAGAACAUUUCAUACUGAUCUUCUUUGCAAAUGUCAAGUACACAGUAUUACUAACUGUAGUCGCUGGGCUUUACCUUAGAACCCCAACCUGUUCAUCUCAUAACUGGAAGUUUGCACCCUUUGGCUAACGUCUCCCUAUUUCCACCCCCACCACCCCCCACCCCGGCUGUUGGCAACUACAGUUCUACACUCUG
rnacentral:lncRNA from 1 species